rnacentral:rRNA from 1 species
UACGUAGGGUGCGAGCGUUGUUCGGAAUAACUGGGCGUAAAGCGCGCGUAGGUGGGUUUGUAAGUCGUCUGUGAAAUCCCUGGGCUCAACCUGGGAAUGGCAGACGAUACUGCAGAUCUUGAGUACUUGAGAGGAUGGCGGAAUUCCAGGUGUAGAGGUGAAAUUCGUAGAUAUCUGGAAGAACACCGGAGGCGAAGGCGGCUGUCUGGCAAGUAACUGACGCUAAGGCGCGAAAGCGUGGGGAGCAAACAGG